rnacentral:lncRNA from 1 species
AGACUCUCCAAGGUGUUAACACCUGCCGCCAGCCCACGGGAGGCAGGUAAGGAUGGCAACAUGCACAUCCAGUUGUGGGGCAGUGCUUUUGCUGCUGGUCAUGUAACUUGCAACUUCAUGCUAGUAGCCUGUGAUAUGAAAGGAGGCACCCCUAGCAUGCUACAUUUAUUUUACUGCCUGCAGCCUUGGUAAGGGAGUGACCAUGAGCAUAAGGAGGAAAUGCUGAUAAAUUCGAUAGAGUUAAGCUAAAGUAGAUUCACUGUCCUCUAGAAAAUUCAUUUAAGUGCAGCUUCCAUUGCAUGCGAUUGCCAGGCCUACUUGCUUCACAUGGCUUUUUGCCUCUAUUUAACUAGGAGGCAGAUGGAUACUUAAGAUGAAAUAUCCAAAGCAGGAUGCACGCAAAAAUCACUGCCUCAUAAGAUUGGCACUUGAGCUGCUUGGGUGAGCAUCUUGCAAGAAAGGUUCACUCUUCUGUACAGUCAAAGACGACAGUGUUAACGGUGGAAGAUCAAUCUUUAUUUAGAAGGACAGAAAUCACCUCUGCCAACUUUUCCAUUACUAAUAGUUCUCCCAGCUGUUUCAGCUACAGGAUUAAUGACUCAUUUCCCAGCAGUUCAUUGAAAUGGCCUUCUGUACCCAGGUGAGCUCUCAUUUAAGCUGAUUAUUAAAAAAAGCAGCAGCCCUCACAGUAGAACAGAGAGGUUGAGGCUCUCUGAGCUCAGGCACUCAUGGAAAUAAGCAGAGAAGCAGAACUCUUUCCUGUUUUUUCAACUGGUUUAGCCCUGGGAGGAGACUUGUCACUUCAUGCUGAGAGAGGAGAAAAGAAUGAGCUAUCCAUCUCUUGCAGUGCUACAGCUGGUGGUGCUGCUGCUCCCUGAGGAGCCCCUGCCUGUAUUCCUCCUCCAUUUCAGGAUGCAGAAGUUGGGAGGAAGAAAGGGGAAAGCCGCUGUGUGUCUAACCUUGCAGAUCUGCAUUCACCCCUUCAGUGAGCUCAGCUUAGGAGUAUGAUGAAACUGACAUUGGAUGCGAGGUAGGAAUGGUGACAAUUCCUCCAGAGCCAGACUUUUACCUACUUCUUGUCCUGGACUGCUGUUGCAGUGACUGCUUAGAGCCUGGCUCUGGUGUUCUGCGCUGUCAGGAAGUUGCUGAUGAUCCCAGACACCACCUCGGGUUCAUUGAGGUGCACAAAAUGACUCCCAGGCACCUCUACCAGCUGGAUGUCCUAGAGGGAAAAGACAAAUAGAAAUAGCGCAGGAAAGUGUUCCUUCAGGCAAGCUGUGCUUGCUGUGUGGUACCUACUGGGAAGGAAGCCAGAGGAAACAAUGCAAAAAUGGUGUCUCAAAGAAAGGUUGGAUUUUACAUUGCUAUAGUUGACUGCAGAUACACCAGCCACUGACAAACCCAUCACAGAAAGAUGACAGUCCAACAGGGAGGCAGGACAGGGAUGGGAGUAACUGGGAAGAGCUAUAUCUGGAAGGCAGUACUGAUUAGGUCUUUGGCUGUAAGGGCAAAGCUUCCUUCCCUUCCAUCCCUCCAUGUGAGGACUGGGCUGUUUAGGACAAAUCCCCUGCUGUGGAUGUCCUCUAAGGUAAGGUAAUUCCUAGCUGCUUCCAGGUUGGUGCCCAGUGAAGUGGAUGGAGAUGCAAAGAUGGAGAUUGUGCUCACCUCUUUGAGGGUAUGCUCAAAUGCCUCCCGUAAGGAUUUCACAAACUGAUUUCUGCUCUCUAGCUUGUGUGGUACCAAGAGUCCAUCUUGUGCUCUGAAAAGUAAGAGCAAGGCUCAGUAAAGCACAUGGUGUGCCUCUCUGUGGCUGUCUCCUGGGCAGAAGCAGUGUCCCCAGGACAGAUUGGGAUGGCAGGCCCAGCUGCUCUGCAGGCUGCCAGUAAGCAGCACAGUUACAGGUUCAUGCAUGGUAGUCAGAGGAGCAAGGCACAGCUUGGCUAAGCAGCUAUUAUCUAUCAAGCUAUCUGUUUAAUACUUGGAGUACUGCCUAGUAGUAUCACAGGGAGACAGGUUAAAUAUUAUCCACCCAGGACUGGCUCCUUAACUUGUCUCAGUAUACAAUUCCCUGCCCUUACCCUAUCUUCUGCUCUUGGCUUUAUUCCUUUCAGCCAGCUUCUGCAUCUCACCUCUGUCCCUUUCCCUCCUCCAUACUGCUGCUUGAACGCUAUAAUCACAGUUCCUGCCCUACUUGGAGCAGGAGGCACCAGGGCUGCUCCCCUGAAGAAACCAGUGUUAGACUCCCUGUAGAAUUAAGAUUGUGCUGCAGGUACCUAGAUGAAGGGAUGUCUGAGGCUUAAGGGGAUGUGCUCUGUAUGGCCAGGAGGACCUGUCCUCACCAUGAUGUUGCAUUUUUCUGCUCUGGACAAAUAGGAAAAGUCAAAGAACAAUGCUCACAUGAUUUGAACAGCCUAGAGAAGCCAAAACUGAAUCUUAUUUCUCAGCUCCUAGCACCUCCUCAUUUCCCCUUGACAGCAUGGGCCAACAUCACCAGAACCUUGCACACCUUGACCUCUAAGGAGACAGCAAAAAACGCAGGAGGACAAACAGCACCCAAACCAGACAGAUGGCUGAUGGCUUGUGGGGCUCCAGGUAAAGACACUGGCUGCCUCCCCAGCAUCUCCUCCCUGCCCUGGGGCUAGGUCAGGCUCCAGAACCAGCUGGAACAGGUGAAGGCUGCAGUGGCUUCACUGUUUGUACAGCACGAGGAGGAGAGGGCAGGUGGGUUACUGCUGAAGGAAGAGGCCACAAGGGAAGUAUGCAGGAAUGAUGAUGGAAAGGCUCACGUGUCUGCCAGGAUGUUCCCUUUGCUCAAAGCCAAGGGAUGAACAGAUGGGGAGGAGCCCUUCUAGCCAUCGCCCCUUCACACAGGGUGGCAGUGAAGGCUGGUUUUACUUGUGCCUCACUCACAAAAUGAUGAGAACGCGGUCCUUGAUCUUCUGCAGGAGCUUCACACACUGUUCCACCGUGAGGUACUCUCGACUCUGCUGCAGGUGCAAAAACAGAGCAACAAAAGUCAGGGACAGCAGCUGAGGAUAGAGGGUGUCCUCAAGCCCUGUGCGGGAGAGGCUGAGGCCCCACGGCUGCUGUGCUGAGACAGGACAGGCUGCCAGGCUGCACACAAGAGCGCCUGGCUCUGCAACUGCUCCUUCUAUCCAGAUGUGUUUCAGGGCUGCCAACAGCACUGCCUGCUGGGUUGCAGCACAUAUGGGAAUGAUCUCACAGCAGAGAAAAUGCUUUAAAAAGUCCUUUUACUAAAAAGGAGAUAAUACAAUACUCUAGUUUUCAUAGCCUGGCAGUAGCACAGGUAGAGGACGCCCUCCUUAGACAAUAGUGGCACAAUGCUAUCAACAUAUCAGAUGCAAAGACUUUGUUCCACUCCCUCCCCCUUUCCUGUAAGGGUGACCUGACAAAAAAGCUGACCUAAAACAUCCAUCCAUCUGCUGCCUUAAGAGUUACAACAGCAGGAAAAUGUGGCCAGGAGGCCCUGGGGCUCAGGAACUGCUAAAAAAUUCAGUAACAUUUUCCAGUGACUCUAAGCUGAGUCAGUUAAUGAUCAAGUGCAGGCUCUUUUAAAAGCACCAUUUAAAAGAGGUGUGGGAAUUAGGGAAGCACUAAGUAAACGGUUGGGUGGAGGGAGGGCCUGGGCUCAGUGAGUGGGCCUCCGCUACCUCUGUUUUCUGUAAGCUCAGGGCUCAGAAGCAGCAGGGGGCAAGUCAGAACAGCAAUGCUCACCGUACGGACUCUCAUGUCUCUGUUAUACACCAGCCCUGCAAGGAAAACAAGAGAAGGCUUUCAUGUCUCAUAGAAACAGGAGUUGCUCUGCCCCUCGCCUCUGGGGUCUGCCCAAGACUUCUUGAGGUAAGAGGAGUAGGAUUAACUCAAAUAUCUCCUUCUUUAUUUUUUCUUCCUUUACUCAUUCUAGGACUCGAGCUCCAAUGUCAGUUGCUGGGAAAUGAGAGCUUUGCCUCCAGACUUAAUUGAUCCCAUUCAGGCUAUGUAAACUCAUAGCUAGGGCACCCUGGACCCUGUGGAAGACAAUGGUUGUUGGCGCUGCUCCCUUCCCACACCCGGUGUUGGGCCAGCCCUCAGAUGAGCCCUGUCUCCAAGCAGCCCCUUACCAGUGGGUGUCUCAGUUGCUCCUCGCUGCAGCAGGAUUGCCCCACCCUCUGCUGUCAGAUGUCUGUUUGCUUCUAAGAGCCUGGAGGAGACAUGGCAGAGACAUUGUGCUGCUGAAAAAAGGAGGAAGCGAAGCGAAAACGGCAUGACAAGGUGACAGCAAGCUCUCAGGCUGCUUCAGAGAAGAGCAGGAAGCUGACUGCAGAAGCAAAAAGUCUUGCUGAGAUACCAGAAGAGAACUUGAAUGGGCAGAACCGUGACAGUUUCCCGUUAUGGUUCAUGUAGCCAUAACUGCCCAAGGUAAAGACGGGCAGCAAAUGAAGAGACAGCUGGGAACCCACCUCUGCAAUGCUGCUUCAGGGCUACGUGCUUUGGGAGCUUGCUGCUUUGCUUCUAGACUCAGUAAUCUAUCGAUAGCCAGCCGCUUUGAUUUCAGCCAUGCCUCAGUGUCCUAAAACAAAGAGAUGUACAGCGCAGGAAUAACCUCCCUCUUCUGAGUCACGUUAUGCCUUAUCAGAGGGUAGAAGAGGGUAUUUUACCCGUCAGCAUCUCUCAGAGCUAGUACCAGUUAUGGACAUAUUAAAAAUGCCCACUUCUCAAGGAAAGAGAACAGCAAUACAUAAGAGGCAAGAUAGGAGCAGAAAACUAAGCACUGUUGUAUAGAAAUUUUAACUUUUCACCCUCAUAAUCUCUUUUACCUCCUCCCACUUCACUUUUGAAUUGAAGACAACCCUCUAAAAAAACAAGGUAAAUCUAGGAUCUUUUGCCUCUCUGACCCUGGGCUUCCAUCCCACUUCUGUCUACCAAACCCCCAGCACCUGGUACUGAUAAUGGCAGUCUGGGAAUGUAGCUUUAUGUCCUGCCAGGAGCAGAAAAAAUCUGCCAGCCUUGCGCUCGGGUCACCCAACAAGCUGUUGGCAAGAAAACAGCCUUGGCAAGCAGUUAGCUGCUUGGACAGAGGUUCCAAUUCCUUUUGCACAUGGGCACGGCAUAGACAAGUGAAUUUCAGUGCUACAGGACUGCAGGAUGCUCCCCAAGGGCCACCCUAAACAGGGUCUUACUUCACGCAACAGGGAGCACAUCUGUGCUUGCCAAAGAAGUUUCGAGAAUGGUGUGACCUGCCAGGAACUGGGCACAUCAGUGUUUUCUUUGAACAAGCGAGGGGAAGACAAAAACAUUUCUUUCUAUUUUAAAAAAGGGAAGGACACAUGAAGUCUAACCUCUGGAGCUAGUAGAAAGCCAAGAUUUUCCAGCAAGAUCAGCUUGUCCACCAUCUCAGGAUAAAUGAAAGCAAACUGAAGAAAGAUGAAACAUUAUGAGACAAAGAGAAAAGCUGCGCAUUGAGUGCUGUUUUCAUCCUGCCGUACAGAAAAGGGGGUUAGAAAAGGGCCUCUCCUUCCCCAGGAUCCAAGACCCAUACAGUGUUUCUUCAUUCCUCUCCCAUUUGUUGUUCCACCUGCAAAAGUCACAAACCCCAUGAAGAAAGUAUGCUCUACUCACCAUUCCUGCCACAGACCCACCCAUACUGUGACCCAUCAGGGUGAACCGUCUCCACCGCAAUGCUAAAUGGCAACAGACAAAAACAGACAGUGAUGCAUUAGAAACCAGAGCUGCGGCAUCUUGCUGCUCCCCCACCAACACAGGCCCCUUCUCCCAAGAGGGCUUCUGCAAUGCUUAAUUUGCUUCCUAAUCCAGAAAUGAGGUGGCUAAGUAGGCCCAUUUUAAAGAAGAAGAACAUCCACCACCUCAUUUCUUUGGUAGUUAUCUCACACAGCUCUCACUCUGC